AGCGAACGCUGGCGGCAGGCCUAACACAUGCAAGUCGAACGGAUCCUUCGGGAUUAGUGGCGGACGGGUGAGUAACACGUGGGAACGUGCCCUUUGGUUCGGAACAACUCAGGGAAACUUGAGCUAAUACCGGAUGUGCCCUUCGGGGGAAAGAUUUAUCGCCAUUGGAGCGGCCCGCGUCUGAUUAGCUAGUUGGUGAGGUAACGGCCCACCAAGGCGACGAUCAGUAGCUGGUCUGAGAGGAUGAUCAGCCACACUGGGACUGAGACACGGCCCAGACCCCUACGGGAAGCAGCAGUGGGGAAUCUUGCGCAAUGGGCGAAAGCCUGACGCAGCCAUGCCGCGUGAAUGAUGAAGGUCUUAGGAUUGUAAAAUUCUUUCAGCGGGGACGAUAAUGACGGUACCCGCAGAAGAAGCUCCGGCUAACUUCGUG
rnacentral:rRNA from 1 species